CUCAUUCGCCAGGUCCGGUCGAAGGCUUAGGGUUUUGGAUCGAACUCAACGAAGCCUGUCGAGAGAGGAGGAAAGCUCCAUCGAUCGGAGUUCUCGUUCUCGAUCCCUUUGUUCCCAUCCUCGAUCUCAUGCGGAUCUGACCUCCAAUAUCCAGAUCGAGAGCGAUGGCGAUCGGUGGUCUCGUUCUCGGCUUUCUUUUCGCUCUCUUUGCCUCACCAGCUGCCGCGGAUGCGAUCCAUGGCUGUGGUGGAUUCAUCGAGGCGAGCUCGCCAUUGGUUAAAUCAAGAAAAUCUUCGGAUGCAAAGUUGGAUUAUUCACACAUAAGGGUUGAACUGUGCACGGUUGAUGGGUUGGUCAAGGAGCGGACACAAUGUGCUCCCAAUGGUUAUUAUUUUAUCCCAGUUUAUGACAAGGGUUCAUUUGUUCUCCGAGUAAAGGGGCCUGAUGGAUGGUCAUGGAAACCUGAUAAUGUCAAUGUUAUUGUUGACCAAGAUGGCUGUAAUGCAAAUGCAGAUAUCAAUUUCCUUCUCACAGGGUUCACGCUAUCAGGAAGGCUCAUUGGUGCUGUUGGUGGUGAAAGCUGUCCCAUAAAAGAUGGAGGACCUUCUGGUGUAAAAGUUGAGCUAUUGUCAAUAUCGGAUGACCUUAUUGCAUCUUCUUUGACAUCGGCAAUAGGAGGUUAUUCAUUCACAAACAUCAUUCCAGGAAAUUACAGAUUACACGUGACACAUCCAAAUUUAGAAGUUGAAGUUAGAGGCUCACCAGAGGUGAAUAUAGGCUUUGGAAAUGCUGUGGUGGAUGAUGUCUUCUUUGUUCGUGGAUAUGAUCUUCAAGGUUUUGUGGUUGCACAGGGAAAUCCAAUUGUGGGUGUUCACAUGUAUUUAUAUUCAGAUGAUGUCUUAGAGGUGCAUUGUCCGGAAGGCGCUGGGAAUGGACCUAGGCAUAAGAGUGCUCUUUGCCAUGCUGUGUCUGAUGAAGAAGGGAGAUUUCUGUUUAAAUCUUUACCUUGUGGGGUUUAUGAACUUUUGCCUUACUAUAAAGGAGAGAAUACAAUUUUUGACGUCUCACCCUCUUCAGCGAUUGUGUCUAUUGAGCAUUAUCAUAAACAGCUGCCCCAAAAAUUUCAGGUUACUGGGUUUUCUAUUGGUGGUCGUGUGAUCGAUGACUUUGGUGCUGGAGUAGAUAGUGCUAAAAUUUUGGUAGAUGGCCAGCUGAAGACAAUUACUGAUGCUCAGGGAUAUUACAAGCUUGAUCAGGUUACGUCUAAACAUUACUCGAUCGCUGUGCUGAAGGACCAUUAUAAAUUUAAUAGACUCGAGAAUUAUUUGGUUUUGCCAAAUAUGGCUAAGAUUGAGGACAUAAAAGCAUAUUACUAUGAUAUCUGUGGAGUUGUUCGAACAAUUUCUCCAGAUUCGAAGGCAAUGGUGACACUAUCACAUGGGCCAGAGAAUGUCAAGCCACAACGGAAACUAAUAGAUGAAAAUGGAAGUUUUUGUUUUGAGGUUCCACCAGGUGAAUAUCGAUUAUCUGCCCUGGCUGUAGAUUCUGAGAAUUCAGGCCUCUUGUUUUCACCAUCAUAUGUUGAUGUAAAGGUCAACAGUCCUUUACUUAAUGUAGAAUUUUUUCAGACACAGGUCAAUGUUCAUGGAAAUGUAUUUUGCAAGGAGAAAUGCAGCCCUAAUCUAUCUGUAUCACUUGUUAGGGUAAUUGGUGAAAGUGUGCAGGAAAGAAAAACCAUUGCUUUGACACAUGAGAGUUGUGAAUUCACUUUUAUGAAAGUUUUUCCUGGAAAGUACCGACUUGAGGUGAAGCAUAUCUCUUCCUUGGCAAUGCCUGAGGAGGAUACAUGGUGUUGGAAUGAGAAUUUUAUUGAUCUAGAUGUGGGUACCCAAGACAUGACAGGAAUUGUCUUUGUCCAAAGAGGUUAUUGGAUUAACUUAAUAUCCUCACAUGAUACUGAUGCCUACAUACUCCUACCUGAUUCAUCUCGUCUUGAUAUUACAAUUAAGAAAGGGCCACAAAAGAUUUGCAUUGAGACUCCUGGCGAGCAUGAGCUGCAUUUUGUCAAUUCAUGCAUUUCAUUUGGGAGCUCAUCGUUGAAAUUUAACUCUUUGGAUCCAACGCCCAUAUAUCUUACUGGAAAGAAGUACCUUCUUAAAGGAGAAAUUCACAUCGAUUCUGACUUGGUCCGAGAUGCGGUUGACUUAUCUGAGCACAUUGUUCUGGAUGUAUUUGAUAGAGAUGGAACUUCUGAUACUGUCUCUACUAGAUUUUCGUCUGAUAAGAGCGGCCAAAGGAACAUUGCUGUGUAUGAAUAUUCCAUCUGGUCUGACCUUGGAGAGGAUCUUAUCUUUUCUCCUCGAGAUACCAGUACUGGACAGGAGAAGAAGAUACUUUUUUAUCCAAGGCAGAGGCAGGUAUCAGUUUCUGUUGAUGGAUGUCAAGCUUCUAUUCCUCCGAUUAGUGGUCGAGUUGGGUUGUAUAUCGAAGGAUCAGUAUCUCCUGCUCUAGAUGGUGUUAAUAUAAGAAUCACUGCCAUGGGGAGCAGCAGUUAUGUCUCUUUGCAGAAAGGGGAUUUAGCUUUUGAAACUGAGACUGGAAUAUAUGGUUCUUUUACUGCUGGGCCCUUGUAUGAUGAUAUAAGUUACAAAGUUGAAGCUUCAAAGCCAGGUUAUCAUCUUAAACAAGUUGGACCUAGUUCUUUUACGUGUGAACAGCUUAGUCAGAUUGUAGUGCACAUACAUGACGAAAAGGAGAAUGGAGAACUAUUCCCUUCUGUUUUAUUAUCAUUGAGUGGUGAAGAUGGUUACAGGAACAACUCGAUCAGCAGUGCUGGUGGAACAUUCACCUUUGUCGAUUUAUUUCCUGGAAGUUUCUAUCUCCGCCCAUUGCUAAAGGAAUAUUCCUUCUCUCCUGCAGCUGUGGCAAUUGAACUAGAAUCUGGAGAGUCUAAAGUGGUUAAAUUUCUUGCAACACGUGUUGCUUACAGUGCUAUGGGCAGUGUAUCAUUACUCUCAGGUCAACCAAAGGAAGGUGUUUAUGUCGAAGCACGAUCAGAAAGCAAAGGCUAUUACGAGGAAGCAGCAACUGAUAAUAUGGGGAAUUUCCGGUUAAGGGGUCUUCUGCCUGACACUACAUAUAUGGUCAAAAUAGUAGCAAAGGACUACCUUGGAGUCAAAACACUUGAACGGGCUUCACCUGAAUCUAUUGCUGUUAUGGUUGGAAGUGAGGACGUAAGAGGUUUGGAUUUUGUGGUGUUUGAACAACCAGAUAUAGCAAUUUUAAGUGGCCAUGUGGAAGGAAAUGACAUUGAAGAUCUACAGCCACAUCUUUCUGUUGAGAUCAGAUUAGCGAGUGACCCAUCUAAGGUUGAGUCAGUCUUUCCUUUGCCACUCUCGUUCUACUUCGAAGUGCGUGAUUUGCCCAUGGGCAAGCACCUAGUGCAGCUCCGGUCUCGAUUCCCAUCAAGUUCUCACAGAUUUCAAUCCGAAAUACUGGAAGUUGACUUGGAAAAACAACCUCAAAUUCAUGCUGGCCCUCUCAGAUAUAAUGUCAAAGAAGAAAAUCACAAACAGGAACCAACUCCAGCUCCGGUGUUUCCUCUGAUUGUCGGAGUGUCUGUUAUUGCUCUCUUUAUCAGCAUACCAAGGUUGAAGGAUUUAUACCAGUUAGCAGUGGGGAUGGUUUCUUUGGGAUCAAGCACAGUAUCCACUAAAAAGGAACCACGGAAGCAAGUUUUGAAAAGGAGGCUUCAUUAGAAAGAACUGGAUUAUUUUUCCUUUUGUACCAAUCAUUUUGGACCCUCUGCUUGAUCGUUAGCUGAUUAGAGUUAUAAUUUUUAAUCAAACGUGCAAUAAUUUCUGUAGCAGCAAUUGCCUAGAACAUGUUCCUAAAUAGUUGGAUCAGCAGGAUGGGCGAAAGAUUGACCUUUUUUGGUGUUACCAUAUUGUGUUUUCUAUAUAUAUCCAUCGAGUAUGUGCUUGUAUGAUAUUUUACUUAAAAUGAGGUUUGCCACUGGUAUUUACAAAUGACUGCUGCUACUGGUGUAUACUAAACCCCCAAUAGCUGGUGCUUCUGCCCACCGGUAAUCAAUAAACAUCACUUCCCUUGUCAGUCACUGUCGAUCCUAUUUGGAUAGGGAGGGGUAUGGUAGUGAAGUUUUCUUUUUUAUUUCUUGGUUUUGGGUUGUACUUUAGAAUGAUUAUUUUCUGGAUACUCGGAAAAGAAAACAAUCUUGCUGUUUGGGUUUUCAA